rnacentral:rRNA from 1 species
UACAGAGGGUGCAAGCGUUAAUCGGAAUUACUGGGCGUAAAGCGUGCGUAGGUGGUUUGUUAAGUCUGUUGUGAAAGCCCCGGGCUCAACCUGGGAAUGGCAAUGGAUACUGGCAAGCUAGAGUGCGGUAGAGGGUAGUGGAAUUCCCGGUGUAGCGGUGAAAUGCGUAGAGAUCGGGAGGAACACCAGUGGCGAAGGCGGCUACCUGGACCAGCACUGACACUGAGGCACGAAGCGUGGGGAGCAAACAGGG